CCACCGAAAGGGUAAAGCUCGAGGAAUUGGGCGGCACAAAACCACCUGUCCUGAAGCAGCGGAAAGAGGGGUUAUCGAA
rnacentral:ncRNA from 1 species